rnacentral:tRNA from 1 species
GGUCCGUUAGCUCAGUUGGUUAGAGCGUGGUGCUAAUAACGCCAAGGUCAUGAGUUCGAGACUCAUACGGACCA